GGACUUUUAUUUUGGUCUGCCUGUGUGACGUCAUAAGGCGGCGCCGCGCUCCUGCUUCUGUUGUGAUUCGGCUGAAGAAAGAAAAACACCUGGUGAAGAGACUGUGACACACUAUCAUAAAGAUGGAGUUUAUUAAAGAGGAGAGUGAAGACCUGAGGAUUGAAGAAACAUUUAAACAUGAAGAAACUGAGGAACAAACAGACCUGAUGGCCCUGAAAGAGGAGAGUCAAGAACUGAAUGAAAUGGAAGAGAGGGAUCCGUAUCAGGAAGGUCAUGUUUUCAUAACUGGAAACAAAAAAUCAACACAGACUGAAAAUAGUUCCUCACAAAAAAGAGCCCAGAAGAAAU